rnacentral:snRNA from 1 species
AUUCUUGUGCUCGGGCACGUACUGGCAUCAGUGAGGUUAAUACCGAGAUCCAGUCUUUUGCUGAUUGCAAAUUACACAUCCGAACUCGUCUGAUAUGCUUCGGCUUUCAGCAAUUUUUGGAACCCUCUAGCGAGC